rnacentral:lncRNA from 1 species
AGAAUAUAUGGUAAUAUGUGUCAAAGAAGAAUCUCCUGAUGCCAUGAUCUGAAGGGCUGCCAUGUCCAUAAGGCUGAAAGGGUUUUAUGUAGCUUUUUUUUUGUUUGUUUGUAGGAUCGCUAUGUUGCAGUGUUGUAACUUUAAUGGUUACAUGUGGGGAGUUCUUAAGGACUUAGGCUGUUCCCCCUGCUACCAGCUCUUUUUUAAAGAGUUUACCUAUGAUGCAUGAAAAGGCUAGGAAAGUUAGGGACGUUGUAACAUUUUUAUUAGGGAAUUUAUCUUGCAGGCAGCCUGCUCUAAUUUGGUUAAUCUCCCAGUGAAUAUCAGAAAAUAUAAUAUGUUGGAGAAACACAUGGAAGCCCUGGAAUCCCUUGCACUGCCUGGGCACUUUUGCUGCCACGUCUGCUUCUCAGCAAAGGAGUGACAGCACUUGUGAAAAGCAUUUGUGGAUGGACUGAGAGCAACCUGGGAGCUGCACAGUGCUCAGCCUGUGCCUGACCUUCCCCAUGCAGCAAAACCCCUGCUGCUGUUUCUGCCCAGGCAUUUCUGUGGGCACAGAGGCAGACAUGGUGCUUGCAGUCACACCUACCUACAGCUUCGUGCUGUGUGAACGUGAGUGUUCCUCACUCAUCUAGUUUUCAGCUGAGCAGAUCUUGAAUUUGAUUUCAUCCAAAGGCACAUCUGGUUGUAGCACUGCAGAUGGGGUCCUUGAAAAAACAAAAAGAAAAGGUGUUUAGGUUAAGAAUACUCUUGUGAUUAAAAAAAAAUAUUGAAAGUCCCCAAGUGUUUGUUUAAAGAAAAUAAUUUUCAUUAAAAUGCUGGCACAAUUUCAAGCAAUUUGAUUUUAAUUUUGAAGUGUUGAAAAUGCCCUCAGAUAAUUUCUGCAGCAUUCCAGAACCCAGAAGUGAUUGUAGAAAGCAAGUCACUUAAGAAAUCAACUGCAGAACUAAAAUUCAUUUCCUGUUUUCUAAGAAAACAAAAAAAGGCCCAAGGCUGUUAAGUCUUUCUGAGAAAGACCUUCUCACAAGCAGUGAGAAGCAGGCAAGCUUGGUUUGCCUUUUUUCCCCUAAACAAAACAGAGUUUGCACAUUCAGAAAGCUUCCAAGAACCACACAAGACAUAUAAAUACAAAUAAUUUACUGGACUUUGGUACCAAGUACAUGACUUUAACCAUGGCUCAGUUGGACCUGCAAGCAGUCUAAAAUCAUUGCCUUACGAUUUUAAAGAUGCUCAGAGAUGCAUAUUUUACAACACUUGUGCUCUGAUUUCAUCAAAGCAGCAGUCUGAUCAUUUCGUAUUAGGAUUUUAUCUAGAUUUACUAAAGCUUCAGUUCAUUGCCCUUGGGUGGAGCACAGCUCUCCCUCCAAAGAAACCAAGUGCAAUUGUGUCUCCAGCUCACCUCAGAGGAGUGAACAGCCCCCAGGCAGGCAGGUUCUUUCACUGAGCUUUUGCUACCAGCACCACUUGUGACAAGAUGUGCCUCCAUCCAGCAAGGAGAUGUUGCAACUUGCUGCAAGCACAGCUGUUGCCUCAUUCUGGUCUCAAGGAAGCAGAUUCUGUAAAACAUUCUUCUGGGAAAGCUGGUUUCCAUUUAGAAAGGAGGAAAAGAAAAUGAAAAUAAAAAGGAGAAAGAAAAAGAAGACAAAUAUGCCUCUGAGGAGGCUUUUGAAUGCUCUCCUUUGUUAACUAAUACAGUUAACAGGCCUGAAUAUGACAACAAGUUUCCCAUCAAGAGCAUCCCAAACAAAAUCUUCAAUAAGAACUUUUCUAUCUCAUAGAGCCAUACAAGCUUCACAACUCUUUUUAUUUUAGUUUUCCACAGUUGGUUUGGUUUCUUUCUUUUAUUUUUUUCACUAGCAAUUGCAUGCCUCGGGUGUUGAUGCUUCCCCUGAGAUAGCAAAAAGCGACCUUUAUUUUGUGGGAUAGAGUUUUUGCCUCUCUAGGCCAUUUUAGCUGUUGAUAAGGCCAUUUUAGGUAUUGAUAAGAGGCACAUAAAAAUUGUAUCCACAAAAUGCCUAUUUAGAAAAGGCAGUCAACAAUUUUUAUUUUUUAAUCUCACUACCAUUCUCUGGAUUUAAUGUCUACCCCAUUUUUUCAGUUCUCCACAGUAGCUUUUUCUGGGUUUAUCAUAUCCUCACAUUAUCAGCAUCAUCUUCAUCAGCACAUUUACAUGAAGGCAGGUAGAAAUUAGAGAGAAGUUAAUUCACUGUUGAAUCACUUGAUAUAAAUUAAUCAGGGUGUUAAUCCUGAUGCAUGUGGGCUGGGCAGAGGGAGGAGAAGACUGCUUUAUUGGGUUUGGUAGCUUUAAAUCAGAACAAAGGCAGUAAAGGAUGAAGGCUUUAGGGAACAUGUGUUUUAGAAGAAAAACUUGGCUCACCACUAAAGCAGCACUGCCUUAUAACAGAUAUUUAAAAUUCAGAUGUGGAAAGAGACCAGCAGAAUUAUAUAAAUACAAGAGACUGUGCAGCUUUUGGCCAGCACUGGUCACUUCUGCCCACAAGCCAGCCCAUCCUUGGCAGCCCCUCCUGGGCCUGGGCAGGCAGGUCCGUGCUCCAAAGCAGCAGGACUGCAGCACUGGAGGCUGCACAGCUCAUCCCAACGCAAUUCUGCAGCACAUUAGGUUCAGACAAAGCAUUAAAGAAUUCAGCCCAGCCCUGGCAGCUGGGACAUUGUUUUCCAGGACCAGAGCUCUCUCCAGCUGCUGACAGGCCUAUUGCAAACCCAUGUCAGCCAGGACCAUGCUGCUGGAGGGAUCUGUACAACCCUCACGCUGCAGUGGCAGGGCAGCAAAGGAAGAACUACUUUGAAGCAGGUUUGCCAAGGUGUUUAGAAACCUAGACAUGAAGAGAGGUGCCCCAUGAUGUUCCCCAAGGCCUCCAAGUGGGUCAGGCUCUUCAGACUCGAGCCCUGAAAUGGGAAUUUUCCUCCUCUCUCCCUCCAAUCUCCCAGAGAACUUAGUGGAUUUGGUUUGGAUGGCAAGGUCCUGAGAGGAUGGGGGCUGCAGGGCUGGUUCCUGGAGAAGCUGCUGGAAGCUUCCCCCACUGACAGGGCCAGACCUGCUGCUGGCCAAAGCUGGGACAAUCAAGAGUGACAGUAAUGCCUCUGUGACAACAUUUGUGAGGAGGAAAGGAAACCAGGCAUUGCUGGGGAAGGGGAGGGGAAGGGGAAGGGGAAGGGGAAGGGGAAGGGGAAGGGGAAGGGGAAGGGAAGGGGAAGGGGAAGGGGAAGGGGAAGGGGAAGGGGAAGGGGAAGGGGAAGGGGAAGGGGAAGGGG